rnacentral:rRNA from 1 species
UACAGAGGGGGCAAGCGUUGUUCGGAAUUACUGGGCGUAAAGGGCGCGUAGGCGGCCCGCUAAGUCGAACGUGAAAUCCCCGAGCUCAACUCGGGAACUGCGUCCGAUACUGGUGGGCUUGAAUCCGGGAGAGGGAUGCGGAACUCCAGGUGUAGCGGUGAAAUGCGUAGAUAUCGGGAGGAAGGCCGGUGGCGAAGGCGGCGCUCUGGAACAUUUCUGACGCUGAGGCUCGAAAGCGUGGGGAGCAAACAGG